CCACCCGAGGGGCGCUGCAGCAGGUUCUCUGUCAGGCUCGGUUGGGGCGCGUUCGACCAGCAUGGUCACACGCACAACGGCGCCCAUUCACA
rnacentral:ncRNA from 2 species